rnacentral:rRNA from 1 species
GAUGAACGCUGGCGGCGUGCCUAAUACAUGCAAGUCGAGCGAACAGACGAGGAGCUUGCUCCUCUGACGUUAGCGGCGGACGGGUGAGUAACACGUGGAUAACCUACCUAUAAGACUGGGAUAACUUCGGGAAACCGGAGCUAAUACCGGAUAAUAUAUUGAACCGCAUGGUUCAAUAGUGAAAGACGGUUUUGCUGUCACUUAUAGAUGGAUCCGCGCCGCAUUAGCUAGUUGGUAAGGUAACGGCUUACCAAGGCGACGAUGCGUAGCCGACCUGAGAGGGUGAUCGGCCACACUGGAACUGAGACACGGUCCGGACUCCUACGGGAGGCAGCAGUAGGGAAUCUUCCGCAAAGGGCGAAAGCCUGACGGAGCAACGCCGCGUGAGUGAUGAAGGUCUUCGGAUCGUAAAACUCUGUUAUUAGGGAAGAACAAAUGUGUAAGUAACUAUGCACGUCUUGACGGUACCUAAUCAGAAAGCCACGGCUAACUACGUG